GCUUGUUUCAGAAUAUUAACAAUUAUAAAGUUGACUGUUAUUCUUAGUUAAUAGUAAAUUGUUUAAUAUGCUUAUGACUUGCGAAUCUAAUGGUCAGUUAACUUAAAUAAACCAGGGUUGAUGACGUAUGCGAGUGCGACCUCCGCAGGCUGAAACCAGUCUCUCGAGCUGAAAGAAAACGCAGCUGAGGAGAUAUGAGGAAACUUCCACCUACAGUAAGCAGAUGCUGAGGCCCAGAUUUCCAUGCUAAGCACUCCAAGGCUCAUCAUGCUCGGAGAGUCCAAUCUGAGGGCAAAAAAUGGAUGCUUUCCAUCGAGUGCUGAGUUCUCCUCCAAUUGAGUGACGGUUGUGAUUUCACUUCUGCUCUAGCCUUUUUGCGUCAUACUAUGUAUGAGUCAGCCACUAAAUUGGGAUUUAUCCAGAGGGUAGAGUCCAGCCCAGGAAGUCAACUAGUUCAUGUCCAGAUUUAAAAGAAUAAUAUUUCUGAAAAAAAGGUCUUGGAGAAAAACAAUAUUCAGGUUUGAAAUCCUGCUGUAAAUGUAAAUCAUUUAACUUUUAUGCAUUUGUAAUUUACCAGAAACUUUUUAAUAAAUAUUGAUUGUUUUGUGUGUUCAGAAAAAGUGUUUUUGUAUGUUCAGAAAAGUGUUGAAAUUAAAUGAAACAUUCACAGAAAAAUGUUAACAUAUUUAAAAAAAUGUAUAUGUUCAGAAAAGUUUUGAGAUGUUCACAGAAAAAAUGUAACACAAAAAAUGUAUGCUAUGCUAUUUUUAAUUUAUGAAUUUUUGUAAUUUAAAGUGAUAAAAUAAAUGGCAUUUUUGUGACAAA